UUAUGUAAACAAAUUUUUAAAUUAUAAAUUAGCAUUUUGUAUGUUAUUCAGUAAUUUACUUUUAUCAAAUUGUUUGACCUAACCAAUUGAUUAGGUCAAACUGUUACACUAUUUACUUAUACGAUAAAUCGACUGGGUAAAUUCGACUGGGUUCUUAUUCCUACCACAAUUAUGUCGCCACUGUCAACGCGGAGUUCACGGCUACGGGACCAGGAGCCUUAAAGAUAGCAGCUAUAUAUGUGUAUAAAUGUUAAACAAUUGAGGCGUGUAACUUGCCAAAAUAUUCAUGUUGCCAAAACCUCAUGUUUACAGCUGAUGAAAACAAUACUGUCAAAUGAGCUGGCAAUAAAAUACAAUUGGUGCGGAGCAAAAAAAAACAACAUUUUUCUAAAUUAGAAAUAUGCAAAAUAAUUAUGAAUGUAAUACGAAAAUUACAUGAUGUCACAGAUGAGCAGAUCUCAGUCUCAAUCAAAAUAUGGUUAGCUCAUGCUAAAGAACGUAAGGAGAGAGAAUACCGUAACAUCAUAUAUCAAGAAUAAAGAAUAAAAAAAGUUAAUAUAUAUAUAAAUAUAAAUAAAAUGUAAAAAAAAUAUA